ACGAACGCUGGCGGCGUGCUUAACACAUGCCAGUCGAACGGUGAUGCUCCAGCUUGCUGGAGUGGAUCAGUGGCGAACGGGUGAGUAACACGUGAGCAACCUGCCCCAGACUCUGGAAUAAGCGCUGGAAACGGCGUCUAAUACUGGAUACGAAACUGGCCCGCAUGGGCAUGGUUUGGAAAGUUUUUCGGUUUGGGAUGGGCUCGCGGCCUAUCAGCUUGUUGGUGAGGUAAUGGCUCACCAAGGCGACGACGGGUAGCCGGCCUGAGAGGGCGACCGGCCACACUGGGACUGAGACACGGCCCAGACUCCUACGGGAGGCAGCAGUGGGGAAUAUUGCACAAUGGGCGAAAGCCUGAUGCAGCGACGCCGCGUGAGGGAUGACGGCCUUCGGGUUGUAAACCUCUUUCAGCAGGGAAGAAGCGAAAGUGACGGUACCUGCAGAAGAAGCACCGGCUAACUACGUG
rnacentral:rRNA from 1 species